AUUGAACGCUGGCGGCAUGCCUUACACAUGCAAGUCGAACGGUAACGGGUCCUUCGGGAUGCCGACGAGUGGCGAACGGGUGAGUAAUAUAUCGGAACGUGCCCAGUAGUGGGGGAUAACUGCUCGAAAGAGCAGCUAAUACCGCAUACGACCUGAGGGUGAAAGGGGGGGAUCGCAAGACCUCUCGCUAUUGGAGCGGCCGAUAUCAGAUUAGCUAGUUGGUGGGGUAAAGGCCUACCAAGGCAACGAUCUGUAGUUGGUCUGAGAGGACGACCAGCCACACUGGGACUGAGACACGGCCCAGACUCCUACGGGAGGCAGCAGUGGGGAAUUUUGGACAAUGGGCGCAAGCCUGAUCCAGCAAUGCCGCGUGCAGGAAGAAGGCCUUCGGGUUGUAAACUGCUUUUGUCAGGGAUGAAAUCUUCUGGGCUAAUACCCCGGGAGGAUGACGGUACCUGAAGAAUAAGCACCGGCUAACUACGUG
rnacentral:rRNA from 1 species